ACCUUUUAAGAUUGUUUUGGACUCGUUAGUUUCAGACAUCCCAGCAGACGUGAAGUUAAUGAAGCCUUUGUGCUAUUUCUUACUGGGCGGAAGCGGAUGAUAUCAAACAGGGAUCGAACUCGUGUAGACAGCCGGAAGAACAAAGUCAAACUGCCAGGACGUCCUCGACUAUAACAAGCAAAUAGUUUUACUGUUUUCUUAGAGUCUGCCCGAGGUGAAACAUUGACCCACGCAUUCGCAAAUACAACUUGAACUAUUUAUUUGCACCUCUAGGUACACACACGCUUGAAGA